rnacentral:rRNA from 1 species
UACGUAGGAGGCAAGCGUUAUCCGGAUUUAUUGGGCGUAAAGCGUCCGCAGCCGGUUUAUUAAGUGUGGAAUCAAAGCCCGGGGCUCAACCCCGGUUCGUUCCGCUAACUGAUAGGCUAGAGUGUGGUAGAGGCAAGUGGAAUUUCUAGUGUAGCGGUAGAAUGCGUAGAUAUUAGAAGGAACACCAGUGGCGAAGGCGACUUGCUGGGCCAUUACUGACGGUCAGGGACGAAAGCGUGGGGAGCGAAUA